UGGGCGUGUGAGUGGCUGUUUGUCCUUGACUCCUGUGUGUCCUGAGGGCAGGGGCUGAGUUUGAAUUACAUGUAUCCAGGGAGAACUUAGCAGGUGUUCAGAAAAUACCUGCUUAUCAUCAUUAGGCUCUACCCUCUGGAGAAAAUCCCCAUUGUUUUCAGAUUGAAGGCAAAUUCCUUGGACUCCUUGAGUGAUAUAUAGAAUCAUAAAACUUGUGUUAAUGUUGACGGCUGGCUAUCCCCACCCCUAAUAACAGGAGAGGAAACAGAUCCAUAUAGGAGCCAUUUGUCAAGGCACAGCCAGAUGUCACCAGCUCCUCACUUCACCAGAACAGAAUGGCCUCCCCAAGCCAGAGCUUCCCUGCCAGGGUGGCUGGUCACACCAGCUGUGCCAAAAGUGAGCUAUACCUGUGUGAUGCACUGGGCCCACCAGCUCUCUGAGUGUCAGAGGGAGGCUCUGCGUGGCCAGAGCACACCUAUUCCCAAGCAUUUACCCCAGCUUACCAUGCACAAAUGAUCACUUCCUGUGGGCCAUGACUCUUGACUGCGGAGACGGUUUGGAACGGCCUAAGAAGUGGCUGUUUCCCGGGAUGAAGCGGUGAGAUCUGGAGACCGGGAGAGCUCUCAGAAGAUCAUGCCUUGCCCAUGACUUUUCACCACCCCACCUGCAUUGUGCAACUUUCUCUUCUGAACCAGAUGCGGAAGGGUCACAGCUCCUGUGCAUCAGGAGAGCAAGAAGGGGCCCUUCUUCUUAACCCAGGGCUGGACUGGGUGCCUGGGCUAGUGUAUCAGAAUGUGCCUUACCCUGGGACUCUGAUGAGUGUGAAGUAUCAAGGCAUUCAAAGGCUCUUUUUUUCAAAUUGAAGUAUAGUUGAUUCGUAGUGUUGUGUUAGUUUCAGUUAUACAGCAAAGUGAUUCAGUUAUACAUGGACAUAUGUAUAUGCUUUUUCAGAUUCUUUUCCAAUAUAGGAAAGAUAUUGAAUAUACUACAAGAUAUUGAAUACAGUUCCCGCUGCUAUACAGAACAUUCUUGUUGUUUAACUAUUUUAUAUACAGUAGUAGUAUGUGUCUGUGAUUUUGAAGUGUAGAGCUGGAGAAGACUUGAGAGUCCCUUGGACAGCAAGGAGAUCAAAUCAGUCAAUCCUAAAGGAAAUUCACCCUGAAUAUUCAUUGGAAGGACUAAUACUGAAGGUGAAGCUCCAAUACCUUGGCCACCUGAUAUGAACAGCUGACACAUUGGAAAAGACCCUGACGCUGGGAAAGGUUGAGGAGAAAGGCAAGAGGAGAAGGGAGCGAUGGAUGAUGAAAUGGUUAGAUGGCAUCACUGACUCAAUGGACAUGAAUUUGAGCAAACUUUGGGAGGGAGUGGAGGACAGAGGAGCCUGGCAUGCUGCAGUCCAUGGAAUCGCAGAGUGGGACACGACUUAGUGACUGGACAACAACAGUGUGUAUUUGUUGAUCCCAAACUCCUAAUUUAUUCCUCUCCAAAGGUUCCUAUUCAACCCCACUAGUUGUGGGUUUUUAAAGGGGUAUCUGGGGGAUGUUUUUCAGACCACAAAGGGCUCUUUUCAAGCAGAUCCCUAGAUUUCUCUGAGGCUGGGGGAUGUGGGCUGAAAAAUGAAUACUCAGAAGUCCGUCACAGCCUGAAACUUCAGGCAAUGUUUUGGUAAGGGAGCUCACCUCAGCAUCCUUCCCCACCAGACCUCCUGCCUCCCCAGAGGGCACUUGGACUCAGUGCUGACACUCGGUUCUUCUUCCCAUCAAAGUACGCUGCUGUCCUCAGCCCCCCUCUCUCAGGCCCUGCCCCUGGGAGUGUCAGUUUGCUGAUCUGAAGGUGGUCUCCAGGCUGCUGAACCAUCAAUAUACCAAGUUAGCGACUAAGGGCUCCUAAUAUUCACCUUUCAAUAGAAACCUUCAGGCUAUACCUUGCUUAAUUCACAGGAGGCUCCUACCUGCACUGAACUGGUAUGAAAGGAACCAAAAAGCUAUUUCCCCACACUGUUUUGGAGCUUCCCUGGUGGCUCACUGGUAAAGAAUCCACCUACAACGCAGGAGAUUCAGGAGACUGGGAUUUGAUCCCUGAGUCAGGAAGAUUCCCUGGAGGAGGGCAUUGCAACCCCCUCCAGUAUUCUUGCCUGGAAAAUCCCAUGGACAGAGGAGCCUGGCGGGCUAUAGUCUGUGAGGUAGGAACACCACACUGUUUAGGGUAUUGUCUGAUGAGCAAAUACCCUAAGUGGACGAGUGAGUGAAUGUGUGAAUAAAAACAGGAGGGAAUAAAGGCCUGGAGUUCCUUCCCCUAACUCCCCGCCUUGGUCUUCAGGUUGCUGGGCAGGAAAUUCAGAACAAAAGACCACUGGACAAUAGCUCCAUUGCCAAGCAACCCAGGCCACAGGUGGCUCAGAUGGUACAGCGUCUGCCUGCAAUGCAGGAGACCCAGGGUCAGGAGUGAGGGUAGGCGUGUGGGCUGUAGCGGAGACCCAGGUCCCUGCAGUUCCUUUCCCCCUCCUGCACUCCUGUCUGGUUACCUGAAUCACCCUUAGGAAUGCUUUUUUCUGGCAGUGGAGGUAUGUGGGCAGGUGGGCUGUGCAACUCCUUCCUUAGGGGCCCAUCCUCCUGGGGAGCCAGUGACUCUGUCUCCCCUUCCCAUCACUCAGACCUCCUGCACGUUGUCCUCACCUCACCCCAUCUGGGUCCUCUCUCAGUCUCUGGGUGUGUCCCUGGAGUGUCAGGCUCUGGGGACUGGUCACUAUCUUCUUUCCUGAAGGGCAGGUAUCUCAUUCUUUCUGACCAUGGACCCUGAAGUGCUCUGGACUUGUAGCCUACAUCCUCUUGGGAGAGGAGAAGGGUGUGUUUCUGGAGGUCUUCAUGUGAGAGCAGAGCCAAGGCCAAGAGCUCAGCCCUGGCUGCUGCAAGGAAGCUGGUGGGCUUCCCUGGUCGCUCAGCGGUAAAGAAUCCACCUGCCAGUGCAAGAGACACGGGUUCAAGCCCUGGUCGGGGAAGGUCCCACAUGCCUCGGAUCAACUGAGCCCGUGUGCCGCGGCUGUUGAGGCUGCACUCUAGAAGCAGAGAGCUGCAGCUACUGAGCCCACAGGCCACAACUGCUGAAGCCCGUGGCUCCCAGAGGCUGUGCUCUGCAACCAGAGAAACCACUGCAACGAGAAGCCCGCACACCGCAACUGGAGAAGCCCCUGCUCGCCGUAACUUGAGAAAAGUCCACAAAGCAAUGAAGACCCAGUGCACUCAAAAAUAAAUUAGUAAAAUCAUUUAAAAAUUAAAAGAGUUCUUGUAUUAAAAAGAAAUACAGGGGCAGCCUGGGCGAUUUUGGUGUGCAUGCUCCAGACAGAGAACCAGAAUUAAGAGGAAGGACGACGAUGACUGAGCUACGGUUGGCUGUCUGUCCAGUAGACGGCUGCGUCCAAUUUGGCAUCAGUGGAGACCAGGGUAUAACGAAGGGAGAGCAGGCUGGAGACCUCAUCACCUCCAGGCUGUAGGCUUGUCUCCUUUCUUCCAUUAGGAGGCUUACCUUCCUACUUGUCUCCCCGUGCCUGUUCUAAUAAUUUCUGACUACAUCUUCUGUCAAAAUAAAAAGUUUGGUUUGGAG
ensembl:lncRNA